CCCUUUUCCGGUUGAUCCUGCCGGACCCGACUGCUAUCGGAUUGAGAUUUAGCCAUGCGAGUUGAACGUCCCUUGAUUGCAGGGGGCGUAGCAUACGGCUCAGUAACACGUAGUCAACCUGCCCUGGAGACGCGGAUAACCCCGGGAAACUGGGACCAAUCCGUGAUAGGUCGCCCCAUCUGGAAGGAGGGGCGGCCCAAAGGGGAAUUGUGGGCUUCCACUUUUCUCGCUCUAGGAUGGGACUGCGGCCGAUCAGGCUGUUGGCGGGGUAAUGGCCCACCAAACCUGUAACCGGUACGGGCCUUGAGAGAGGUGGCCCGGAGAUGGACACUGAGACAAGGGUCCAGGUCCUACGGGGCGCAGCAGGCGCGAAACCUUCGCAAUGUGCGAAAGCAUGACGAGGUUAAUCCGAGUGGCUUCCGCUGAGGAAGUCUUUUGCCGACUGUAAAAAGGUCGGAGAAUAAGGGGAGGGCAAGUCUGGUGUCAGCCGCCGCGGUAAUACCAGCUCCUCGAGUGGUCGGGGCGAUUAUUGGGCCUAAAGCACCCGUAGCCGGUUCCGUAGGUCUCCUGCAAAAUCCAGUCGCUCAACGAUUGGCCCGCAGGAGAUACCGCGGGACUAGGAGGCGGGAGAGGUGGACGGUACUCCACGUGUAGGGGUAAAAUCCUUUGAUCCGUGGAAGACCACCAGUGGCGAAGGCGGUCCACCAGAACGCGCUCGACGGUGAGGGAUGAAAGCUGGGGGAGCGAACCGGAUUAGAUACCCGGGUAGUCCCAGCCGUAAACGAUGCUAGCUAGAUGAUCCGAUCGUAAAUCAUGAUCGGAGUGUCGCGGGGAAGCCGUUAAGCUAGCCGCCUGGGGAGUACGGUCGCAAGACUGAAACUUAAAGGAAUUGGCGGGGGAGCACCACAAGGGGUGAAGCCUGCGGUUCAAUUGGAGUCAACGCCAGGAAACUUACCAGGAGAGACAGCAGAUUGAGGGUCAGACUGAAGAUCUUACCUGACGAGCUGAGAGGAGGUGCAUGGCCGUCGCCAGCUCGUGCCGUGAGGCGUCCUGUUAAGUCAGGCAACGAGCGAGACCCAAAGGGCGAAU
rnacentral:rRNA from 2 species